rnacentral:misc_RNA from 1 species
ACAAACUUGGUCAUUUAGAGGAAGUAAAAGUCGUAACAAGGUUUCUGAUCCUUCCAUAGGUGAACGUCAUUCAGGAAGCCUUUGCCGCCGGAAACGGUGAGCGUGCCGCGACUCAAAACAAGCAAGCACGCCAAGGGCAAGUCCACGUGGGUGGGCAACGCUGUCAAAUUGCGGCGAUUCUCCUAAAGACCGUACGACCAAACCACCCUCGAAAGGGAGGUGGUGGCCGAGUUAGUAACCCUGGGUAUGGGCCCGAUCUCCCAACCCUGUGUCUAACAUACCUUGUUGCUUCGGCGGACCGGUUGACCAACUGGUCUCACCGCCGGGGUGGCUCAGCCGCCCUGGAGAGCGUCCGCCGACGGCCUACCACAGAACUCUUGUACCUAAACUUGUCGUCUGAAUUUUGAUUGAUAAAUAUAAACCAAAACUUUCAACAACGGAUCUCUUGGUUCUGGCAUCGAUGAAGAACGCAGC